rnacentral:rRNA from 1 species
AUUGAACGCUGGCGGCAGGCUUAACACAUGCAAGUCGAGCGGAGAUGAGGUGCUUGCACCUUAUCUUAGCGGCGGACGGGUGAGUAAUGCUUAGGAAUCUGCCUAUUAGUGGGGGACAACAUUCCGAAAGGAAUGCUAAUACCGCAUACGUCCUACGGGAGAAAGCAGGGGAUCUUCGGACCUUGCGCUAAUAGAUGAGCCUAAGUCGGAUUAGCUAGUUGGUGGGGUAAAGGCCUACCAAGGCGACGAUCUGUAGCGGGUCUGAGAGGAUGAUCCGCCACACUGGGGCUGAGACACGGCCCAGACUCCUACGGGAGGCAGCAGUGGGGAAUAUUGGACAAUGGGCGGAAGCCUGAUCCAGCCAUGCCGCGUGUGUGAAGAAGGCCUUUUGGUUGUAAAGCACUUUAAGCGAGGAGGAGGCUACCUGGAUUAAUACUCUAGGAUAGUGGACGUUACUCGCAGAAUAAGCACCGGCUAACUCUGUGCCAGCCGCCGCGGUAAUAC